AGUAAACACAGUUGUGGGUUUCAGUGUCCAACUUUGACCAUUCGUCUUAUUUCAAAUAUUUUUAUGAUUAGUAUUUUUAUUGUUAUUAGAUGAUAAAAUAUGAAUAGUGUUUUAUGUGUGACUUAACUUUUAGAAAUUUUUCAUAUUUUUUUUAAAUAAGACAGACGGUCAAACGUUUGGUACGGAAACUUAUGGCCGCACUUAUA
rfam:Oryza sativa (indica cultivar-group) chromosome 4, whole genome shotgun sequence.